rnacentral:rRNA from 1 species
CACGUAUUUAGCCGGUGCUUCUUACUCAGGUACCGUCAUUUUUUUCUUCCCUGCUGAUAGAGCUUUACAUACCGAAAUACUUCUUCGCUCACGCGGCGUCGCUGCAUCAGGGUUUCCCCCAUUGUGCAAUAUUCCCCACUGCUGCCUCCCGCAGGAGUUUGGGCCGUGUCUCAGUCCCAAUGUGGCCGGCCGCCCUCUCAGGCCGGCUACUGAUCGUCGGUUUGGUGGGCCGCUGCCCCGCCAACUGCCUAAUCAGACGCGGGCCCCUCCCGUACCGCCGGAGCUUUUCACACCGCGCCAUGCGGCGCUGUGCGCUUAUGCGGUAUUAGCAGCCGUUUCCGGCUGUUAUCCCCCUGUACGGGGCAGGUUGCCCACGCGUUACUCACCCGUCCGCCACUCAGUCCCGCGGCUCUCCGGCCCGAAGGCCUUCCUUCCGCGCGCUUCGUUCGACUUGCAUGUGUUAAGCACGCCGCCAGCGUUCAUCCUGAGCCAGGAUCAAACUCU